rnacentral:misc_RNA from 1 species
AAGUCGUAACAAGGUUUCCGUAGGUGAACCUGCGGAAGGAUCAUUAGUGAAUAAACAAGUGCAGGUUGUGCUGGCCUUCUUGGUAUGUGCACGCCUGCCAAAGUUUCAUUCCAUCUUCCCACCUGUGCACUUUGUGUAGAUUCUGUAUGCUGUUGUCAAGCCUUUAUUGUGCUUGGUUGAGAGGAGUUGCUUGUUUUCACAAACAAGCUCUUCUUGGGCAUGCAGGUCUAUGUUUAUAUCAACACCAUAUGAAUGUUUUAGAAUGUGUAUCAGGCUUUUGGCCUUUAAAUUAUAUACAACUUUCAACAACGGAUCUCUUGGCUCUC